AGCUGUCUUCGGGGCGGGGUGAAAGUCCCCACCGGCGGUAAUGCGGCCUUAAGAAGCCGAUGAGCCCGCGACCAAACGCCAAAGUAUUGGCGGGAGCUGAUUCCGGUUGGAUCCCGGAGCCGACGGUUAGAGUCCGGAUGAAAGAAGCGGCG
rfam:Eubacteriaceae bacterium CHKCI005 isolate CHKC5 genome assembly, contig: {contig7}